AGAUAAGACCUCAACUCAGUCAAAGAACCUAUAGCACAAGAAUCUCUAGAACCAAAUAUAUUCAGUUGGGAAGUGGAAAAUACAAAAACAGCCUUAUUACUCUUCAACCACCUUAUAUCUCCUGUAUUUUCUUCAACAGGUUGAAUUGAAAUAUUGGAUCACACUUUAACACCUUAUACCAGCUGUGGUAUGCUAACAUCCCCCCUCAAACUUGGCCGAGGGCCGAGGCGAAGUUUGCUGCGGAAUAAUGCAAGGGCAGAUUUGUGAAUUGGUUUCGUGAAGAUGUCAGCGACCUGUUGUGUUGUUGGAACAUGCUUGGUUACUAAAUUUCCUUGUGCCACACGUUCUCUGACGAAGUGGUAGUCCAACUCGAUGUGUUUACUUCUGGCAUGAAAAACAGGAUUUACUGUAAGGUAGAGAGCACUAAGAUUAUCACAAAACAAUACUGAGGGACUUGUGAGAGGAAUGGCAAAGUCUUUGAGCAUAUAAGUAAGCCAAGUCAAUUCUGCAGCGGUGUGCGCCAUGGCCCGAUACUCAGCCCCAGUACUGGAUCGGGAAACCGUGUGUUGUUUCUUGGCACACCACGAAAUCAAGUUGCUGCCCAAAAAGGUGCAGUAGCCUGUAGUUGAACGACGCGUGACUGGACAACCAGCCCAAUCAGCAUUGGCAAAUCCGUGAAGUUCCAUGGUUGAGUGAGAAGUAAAAUACAAGCCAUGUGUUAACGUGCCCUUCACAUAACGCAUAAUUCGAUGCAGAAACUUCAUGUGAACAACUGUGGGAUCCUGCAUAAAUUGAGAAACAAAGUUGACAGCAAACGCAAUAUCUGGUCGGGUUAGUGUCAAGUAUUGCAAGGCACCAACAAUACUUCUGUAGAGUGUUGCAUCAACAGAAGCAGCAGCCUUGGUGACAGGUGGCUUAAGCUCUAAUGGAGUCGUCAUGGGCUUACUAUCAAGCAUGCCAAACCUGUCCAGUAAAGUCAGAGCAUAAUGAACCUGAUUUAAGUGUAAACCAUCAGCAGUGUGUGUGACUUCAAUGCCUAAAAAAUGAUGCAACAGACCCAAAUCUUUCAUAGCAAACUCAUUACAUAAUAAUUGAACAAAAUCAUCAAUUAAUGCAGCAGAAGAACCUAUAGCACAAGAAUCUCUAGAACCAAAUAUAUUCAGUUGGGAAGUGGAAAAUACAAAAACAGCCUUAUUACUCUUCAACCACCUUAUAUCUCCUGUAUUUUCUUCAAC
rnacentral:lncRNA from 1 species